CAGAAAUUUCCUCCUUGGGGGCAGGGUGGACCUUUUCCGGAACAACCCCAUCAGACAAUUACUUUGAUGUCAACUAAAAUCUUUUCACCCCUCAAUGUAAGCAGAGUAAGAGCUUGGAGACAAGUGUUGGAUCGUCACGAUGGUUCAUUUAUUGUUCUUUAUCGAGCUUACGAGAGUGUUGAUGAGCUCAUUAUCAAUGUCAAGUACGAUGGAAAAGACGUGGCAGAUCACCUUAUAUAUUAAAAGGUAAUUUUUUCAAAUAGUGAAUAUUGACCUAUUAAAGUAAGUUGCAUUGUGCCCUAAUGCACCCUACUAAUAUCACUUUACUAACACUAGAUGAUUUUAAUUGUCAAGGGGAGAGCACGGGCACUUGGGUUAAUAAUAUUAAUAGAAUCACUGAGCAUAACUAGAUUAAUUUGCAGAUUGUGUAAAAAUCCAGGGAUGGAUUUACUGCAGACGGUGGGUAAAUGAGAUACAGCAGUUUAAGUACCAGUAAUGACAUGAUGAUAAGCGAACUGUGAACAACAACUUAGAUUUUGUCUUUAGAAUUUUACCACGAGAACUGCAACUGUCCUCAAAAGAACCACAGUAUUUGGAGCAAGGCGAUGGACUGUCCAGCAACUUACAAGCAGAUAGACACAG